rnacentral:rRNA from 1 species
AUUGAACACUGGCGGCAUGCCUUACACAUGCAAGUCGAACGGUAACGGGCCUUCGGGUGCCGACGAGUGGCGAACGGGUGAGUAAUACAUCGGAACGUGCCCGAUCGUGGGGGAUAACGAGGCGAAGGCUUUGCUAAUACCGCAUACGAUCUACGGAUGAAAGCAGGGGACCGCAAGGCCUUGCGCGGACGGAGCGGCCGAUGGCAGAUUAGGUAGUUGGUGGGAUAAAAGCUUACCAAGCCGACGAUCUGUAGCUGGUCUGAGAGGAUGAUCAGCCACACUGGGACUGAGACACGGCCCAGACUCCUACGGGAGGCAGCAGUGGGGAAUUUUGGACAAUGGGCGCAAGCCUGAUCCAGCCAUGCCGCGUGCAGGAUGAAGGCCUUCGGGUUGUAAACUGCUUUUGUACGGAACGAAAAGCCUUCUUUUAAUACAGGAGGGUCAUGACGGUACCGUAAGAAUAAGCACCGGCUAACUACGUG